CAGGUUGCAUGCGGGUACAAUCAAUACGACGCCGUUUUGGAGCCUCUGAAACAGGCCCUAAACGACGUCGUUUUUACGACCUAUAUACACAUAAUUUUGAAACCCUAAAAUCAUUUUUCCUCAGCCCCUCUUCUGGUGCGCCGCAAAUUCUCUCAAAGCCCCCUUCUCUGCCGCUCCGACUCCCACCAGAAAACGGCGAAAAGCGGCCUUCAAUCGCCUCCAAAAAACAGUAAGCCCUCCUAUUUUCCCCUUAUCCCUUUUUGUUAUUCAAAGAAAUCAAAGAAAAACAAGAUAAAAGAAUAAAAACAGUAAAAAGAAGCAAGGAAAAGAAACCCAAAUUCGUCACCUUCAAAGUGUUUUUUCUUUCUCUGGUAUUUCUUUUUCAGUUUUCAGUAAAAAAAAAUUUGCUCACCCCUUUACAAAAUUUUGAAUGGCUUUUUAUAGCCAAAUCCGUUUACAAAUUGCUAUCCUCUCCAUUUUGCUUGCUGUUGUUCGUGAUUUGCAGGUACGCGCGAAGGGCUGAACGUGAGCGACGUGGAUGUUGCCGAACGUGGGGGCAACGUGCGGCGCCCAAACUGCUGUUAGUCACUGCUUAGGGUUAGGCUGGGAUUUUGGCUUUAGACUUAAUUGGGCUGGGUCAAAAAUUGGAUAUUACACUUUUAAUUUUAAAUUAAUUCAAAUAUUUGUUUCCAAAGCAAAAGAAAAAAAAAAUUGCAAUAAUUUUUCCAUCCUCUUAAUCUAGAAAGUAUAGUUAUUGUUGAUUUUUUUUUAUUUCAUAAUAUCUAUAAAUUUAUGGCUUGAAAUGAUUUACUUGAUCAAAAUCAUUUCUUUACUUUGAAUAUUAUUUUGUUGUUUAAACUAUUGAAUUUUUCAUAUGUUUCUAUUUUAAACAUCGAACUAUAAAAAUUUUUAAUUUGAUCAUUAAACUAUUCAAAUUUAAUUUUUAGUGCCACUAAAUUUGAAAAGGAUGGAUGACGUGAUUAGUAUAAAUUACAUGAAUAGUCAUUCAAUUAUGACAGUGUUUCUUGAUCAUCCAACUAUAAAAUUUUUUUUGAUUUAGUCGUUAAAGUUUUCAAAAUUAAAUUUUUUAGUUGCCGUGAUAACGUAAAUUUGAUGUAACCUUUUUUUAUUGACUUAAUAAAAAUGUUUUUUUGUUUAAUAUUUGUACAUUCUAUCAAUUUCGUCCUAAUUCUAAAAAUAAAUAAAUUUGGCCCUAAUCAUUCUUACUAGCAUUUGGUGCUAGUGCUUGUAUAAAUAGUUUUGGCACUGUCAAUGUAAAUUACACAGUUU
rnacentral:lncRNA from 1 species